CCUACGGGAGGCUGCAGUGGGGAAUAUUGGGCAAUGGGCGCAAGCCUGACCCAGCAACGCCGCGUGAGGGAAGAAGGCUUUCGGGUUGUAAACUUCUUUUAAGAGGGAAGAACAGAAGACGUUACCUCUUGAAUAAGCCACGGCUAACUACGUGCCAGCAGCCGCGGUAAUCCGUAGGUGGCAAGCGUUUUCCGGAUUUACUGGGUGUAAAGGGCGUGUAGCCGGGCUGACAAGUCAGAUGUGAAAUCCGGGGGCUCAACCCCCGAACUGCAUUUGAAACUGUUGGUCUUGAGGAUAGGAGAGGCAGGCGGAAUUCCUAGUGUAGCGGUGAAAUGCGUAGAUAUUAGGAGGAACACCAGUGGCGAAGGCGGCCUGCUGGACGACAACUGACGGUGAGGCGCGAAAGCGUGGGGAGCAAACAGGAUUAGAUACCCGAGUAGUC
rnacentral:rRNA from 1 species